UUCCCGUAUGAUCACCGAAGUUAAGCAACGUCAAGCCUGGUCAGUAGCUGGAUAGGUGAAUGCUUGGGAAUACCAGGUGCAGUA